AGAUCAUAAGUAUAAUGACACACAUGUGAUACAAGAAUCACUGUACAAUAGACCAUUCCCGUGAAAUUUUUUUAUGUGCUCUACGGCUUUCUGUCAAUUUAUUGAGCAAACUUUUCCAAGGAACCCAUAUGUUUUGAAGCCUCUAACUAUUGAAAAACAAUGAAAAACCUGCGAAGUAGCACUUUUCCCCUUUUUCUCCUAUAUAUUAUUUCACCCCAAUUUCCAUCAAACCCCUUUCUCCGCUAUGGCCCGACCGCAGCGAUGUGGUGAGUUUCUGCUCAGCGAACUGUCAACGCGACUGUCAAACGAUUGAUUUGUUUUGGUUUGCUAUUUCGUCGGUGCUUCGCGGGCAAGUUUUUGUAAAUCGGUUCCGAAAACUCGAAAUCGCAGUAAAAUCGAAUGGUCCCGCGGAUUCCUCAACGCGAAAAGUUUAAUCAUAGUAAUGACUGAACGUCGACUCUGAACUCUCGGGCCAUGGAAGUAUUUUGCAGCGUGUGUAUGUUUGUGAAAAAAGCUAAACGGCAGCUAGUGGAUGAGAAGCAACUAGAAAAGGAUCUUCGGAGGCAGUUAGAUUUAUUCGACGAACUCUCCAUUCCGGAAGUACCAGUACUCGGUGGUACAGGUUGCGUUAUUCCGAAAAACGGUGGUGCUUUUGUCAGCUGUGUUGGGGCGUCAACAUGUAAACAUGUUGGGGAAAGUUUUUCGCUGAUCCGCUGAUUCGUGUUCAGGAAAUAAAAACGGCAUCCUGAACCAACAGAACAUACUAUAGUACGGGUCGCCUUUUUUAAGUAAAGUCGAUAUUGCCGUUGACCACCAAUCCGGUUUCAGUGCGUGAUCCGGACACUUCAGUGUGUAGAAACUGUGCCGCAGUAGCAACAAGUUCCGGAAACCUGCGAAAGCUUCAGCUGAUCAACUUUUUGUAUGCCGUAAGCCCCGAGGAGUAAACUAGAACAGAAAAACGACAAGGAAACAACCCUGGAAGAAAUCGACUGUGUUGUGGCACAGUAGUUGACAGAUGUCCUACGCGACGCCUCAGGUGGUCCUCCUGACGAAUAUCAAACCACUGGAAAAGAACUUUACGAUCUGUUAUUCCGGAACCGAUGGAUCUGUCAUCAUCCAGAACGUCCUUCGCAGGAAGAAGCUACAGUAUUAACGAAAAAUAAUCAUCGACAAGACAAUCGAAUGGCGGAAACGGUUCCUAUUGGUGCUGCCGCCUAAAGCAGUCCUUAGCUGCCUAAACAAGAGCACUGAACAGCAAUAGCAAUGCAACACCCCACCGAAGAUCUACAUUGUGAUGCUUUGUUGUGAUGAACCGGUUGAGCACGAACCUUUUGAUCGACAUGAAUUGGAGCAUGGAUCCAUGCCCUGCCCUCCCUAUCCUUCCGGCUUGGCUACCUUCAGGCACUGUACAUGGCAGCUUGCUCGUGGUUCACCCUUCGCAGUCACACACUGCCAAACAUCAUCGGACACGGUUAUACUGUAAUUGGUCUUUGUCUUUUCAAGUCAUGGUCGACCACAGUUAGCCCAGCUAAGUGAGGAAAUCUAAAUGAACAUUUGAAAAGGGCCUAUCUGCUUUUUGUGAACAAACAUGUUUCUGUCUCUGUAGGGCCCAUCUGC